rnacentral:rRNA from 1 species
UACAGCCAUAUCACGUUGAAACACCGAUUCGGGUAUGAUCACUGAAUUUAAGCAACGUCGAGCCUGGUCAGUACCUAGAUGGGUGACUGCAUGGGAAUACCAGAUGCUA